UACGUAGGGUGCAAGCGUUGUCCGGAAUCAUUGGGCGUAAAGAGCGUGUAGGCGGCCACUUAAGUCUUGCGUGAAAUCUUGCGGCUCAACCGCAAGCGGUCGUGGGAAACUGGGUGGCUAGAGUGCGGGAGAGGAGAGUGGAAUUCCUGGUGUAGCGGUGGAAUGCGCAGAUAUCAGGAGGAACACCGAUGGCGAAGGCAGGUCUCUGGGCAUUAACUGACGCUGAGGAGCGAAAGCAUGGGGAGCGAACAGG
rnacentral:rRNA from 1 species